rnacentral:rRNA from 1 species
UUGAACGCUGGCGGCAUGCUUUACACAUGCAAGUCGCACGGUAACAGCACUUCGGUGGCUGACGAGUGGCGAACGGGUGAGUAAUACAUCGGAACGUGCCUAGUAGUGGGGGAUAACUACUCGAAAGAGUAGCUAAUACCGCAUGAGAUCUAAGGAUGAAAGCAGGGGACCUUCGGGCCUUGCGCUACUUGAGCGGCUGAUGGCAGAUUAGGUAGUUGGUGGGAUAAAAGCUUACCAAGCCGACGAUCUGUAGCUGGUCUGAGAGGACGACCAGCCACACUGGGACUGAGACACGGCCCAGACUCCUACGGGAGGCAGCAGUGGGGAAUUUUGGACAAUGGGCGCAAGCCUGAUCCAGCAAUGCCGCGUGCAGGAUGAAGGCCUUCGGGUUGUAAACUGCUUUUGUACGGAACGAAAAGCCCUCUUCUAAUACAGGAGGGUCAUGACGGUACCGUAAGAAUAAGCACCGGCUAACUACGUG